UACGUAGGGGGCGAGCGUUGUCCGGAAUCAUUGGGCGUAAAGCGCGUGUAGGCGGCCCGGUAAGUCCGCUGUGAAAGUCCAGGGCUCAACCCUGGGAUGCCGGUGGAUACUGUCGGGCUCGAGUCCGGAAGAGGCGAGUGGAAUUCCUGGUGGUAGCGGUGAAAUGCGCAGAUAUCAGGAGGAACACCAAUGGCGAAGGCAGCUCGCUGGGACGUGACUGACGCUGAGACGCGAAAGCGUGGGGAGCAAACAGG
rnacentral:rRNA from 1 species